GCCUCCUCUACUGGUGACAUGAAACUUAGACGACAUGCUCGCGAGUAAUUUCUACUGUGAAAUAGUCUAGCACUAGUUUCUGGCUCAAACAACUCCCUGGAAUCCAAUCCUGGUUCUCUAAUUUGUUGUGGCACCACUCUCAGAGGAGAAGCUGAUGGAAGUGAAAUCUCAAUCCCCAUUUCAGUAUUAAGACUACAAAGAUCACUCUGACACAUUUUCAGUGAACCAGAUUCCCCUGUAAGAAACUCUAUUCCAGUUUCUUGCUCAUUUGUAUUUGCAAACAGGGAGCAGGGAUACUUAUCAAUAGAUUCCCCUUUAGGAAUUUGCUGAGACUGAUCUUCAAGAAUUUCACAAAUUAACUUCC
rnacentral:misc_RNA from 1 species